GGUUCCAUAGUGUAGUGGUUUGCACAUCUGCUUCACACUCAGAAGGUCCUGGGUUUGCACCCCAGUGGAGCCA
rnacentral:tRNA from 1 species